CCAAUCAAACUGGGAAAUAGCUCGUACUCUCCGAAAUGCAUUUCGGUGCAGCCUGUGAUGUUCUGUUCCAGAGGUAGAGCUACUGGUUGGACGCGAGGGCUUCACCGCCUAUCAAAUCCGGAUAAACUCCGAAUGCUGGAACACGAAAUCAUGGAGUGAGCCCGCGGGUGCUAAGGUCCGCGGACGAGAGGGAAAGAACCCGGACCACCGGCUAAGGUCCCGGAUGGACAGUUAAGUUGAUCAAACGAGGUGGGAUCGCGGAGACAGCUAGGAUGUUGGCUUGGAAGCAGCCAUUCAUUUAAAGAGUGCGUAACAGCUCACUAGUCGAGCGAUCCCGCGUGGAUAAUACACGGGCAUCAAACUGUCAACCGAAGCCGUGGGGUUAGUGAUGAGCUAACCGGUAGGAGAGCAUUCCUGCCAGCUUUGAAGGUCACCCGCGAGAGUGACUGGAGCGGCAUGAAAAGCAAAUGUAGGCAUAAGUAACGAUAAUGGGGGCGAGAACCCCCCACGCCGCAAGACCAAGGAUUCCCCGGCAAUGUCAAUCAGCCGGGGGUCAGCCGGCCUCUAAGGCUCACCCGAGGGGGGAUGCCGACGAGAAACGGGUUAACAUUCCCGUGCUUCUCGUCACCGUGACGCGGUGACGGGGUGAUGAAUGGACCGCGCGCUGACGGAAUAGCGCGUUGAAGGCCGUACCCUAUGACGGUGGUAGUCAAGCACGCCACCCGAGGCGAAAGUCGAUAGUACCUCGAGGCCUCGGCCGAGGGGAUAGCGUCCAGGCAAUUUACCCCCUAGAAAACCCGCUAAACUUCAAGUGACGAGGAACCGUACUGUAAACGGACACACGUGGUCGGGUAGAACAUACCAAGGCGCUCGAGUGAUUCAUGGUCAAGGAACUAGGCAAAAUAGUCCUGUAACUUAGGGAUAAAGGACGCUCUAGUGAUAGAGCCGCAGAGUAAUGGCCCAGGCGACUGUUUACCAAAAACACAUGGCUAUGCCAAAUCGAAAGAUGACGUAUAUGGCCUGACACCUGCCCGGUGCCGGAAGGUUAAGAGGAGAGCUCAUCGGAAACGAGAAGGUUUGAAUUGAAGCCCCGGUAAACGGCGGCCGUAACUAUAACGGUCCUAAGGUAGCGAAAUUCCUUGUCGGGUAAGUUCCGACCUGCACGAAUGGUGUAACGAUCUGGGCACUGUCUCGACCAUGAGCUCGGUGAAAUUGUAGUUCCGGUGAAGAUGCCGGGUACCCGCGACGGGACGGAAAGACCCCGUGAACCUUUACUGCAGCUUCGCGUUGUUCCCGGGCACGGGACGUGUAGGAUAGGUCGGAGGCUACGAGUCGGUUUCGCCAGGAAUCGAGGAGCCAUCGUUGAAAUACGACCCUUCUCUUGUCUGGGAUCUAACCCAUGGUAAUGGGGACACCGCGUGGUGGGUAGUUUGACUGGGGUGGUCGCCUCCAAAAGCGUAACGGAGGCUUCCAAAGGUACCCUCGGGUUGGUUGGUAAUCAACCUUAGAGUGCAAUGGCACAAGGGUGCUUGACCGGGAGACCAACGAGUCGAUCGGGUGCGAAAGCAGGGCAUAGUGAUCCGGUGAUCCCGCGUGGAAGGGUCAUCGCUCAAAGGAUAAAAGGUACUCCGGGGAUAACAGGCUGA
rnacentral:rRNA from 1 species